GACGAACGCUGGCGGCGUGCUUAACGCAUGCAAGUCGAACGGGAUCCGGGCUUUCGGGUUUGGUGAGAGUGGCGAACGGGUGAGUAACACGUGAGUAACCUGCCCCCUUCUUUGGGAUAACGUCGGGAAAUCGGCGCUAAUACUGGAUAUUCUUGCUGCAUCGCAUGGUGUGGUUUGGAAAGGGUUUCUGGUGGGGGAUGGGCUCGCGGCCUAUCAGCUUGUUGGUGGGGUGAUGGCCUACCAAGGCUUUGACGGGUAGCCGGCCUGAGAGGGUGUCCGGCCACACUGGGACUGAGACACGGCCCAGACUCCUACGGGAGGCAGCAGUGGGGAAUAUUGCACAAUGGGCGCAAGCCUGAUGCAGCGACGCCGCGUGAGGGAUGACGGCCUUCGGGUUGUAAACCUCUUUCAGUAUGGAACAAGGAUCCUUCUUGUGGGGGGUUUGAGGGUACGUGCAGAAGAAGCGCCGGCUAACUACGUG
rnacentral:rRNA from 1 species